ACGUAGGGGGCUAGCGUUGUCCGGAUUUAUUGGGCGUAAAGCGCGUGUAGGCGGCCAGGUAGGUCUGCUGUGAAAACUCGAGGCUCAACCUCGAGACGUCGGCGGAAACCACCUGGCUAGAGUCCGGAAGAGGAGAGUGGAAUUCCCGGUGUAGCGGUGAAAUGCGCAGAUAUCGGGAAGAACACCAGUGGCGAAAGCGGCUCUCUGGGGACCACCUGACGCUGAGGCGCGAAAGCGUGGGGAGCGAACCGGA
rnacentral:rRNA from 1 species